rnacentral:rRNA from 1 species
AUGGAUUGCAAGAACCACAAAAUUGGAAUAGGCAAUACAUCAACUAGUCAAGUUGUGCUCCCGUUUCAGCCUCUUUCCAUUGUAUUUGAUCACAUCAAUUAUUUUGUCGAUAUGCCUAAGGAGAUGAUUAAGUAUGGAGUAUCAAAGAAAAAACUUCAACUGCUACAAGAUGUAAGUGGUGUUUUUAGGCCAGGAGUAUUAACAGCUCUAAUGGGGAUCACUGGUGCUGGAAAGACAACAUUGCUCGAUGUUUUGGCUAGAAGAAAAACUGGAGGAUAUAUUGAAGGUACUAUUAGGAUAGAAGGAUACCCAAAGAAGCAGGAGACAUUCUCAAGGAUCUCGGGUUAUUACGAACAAAACGAUAUUCACUCCCCUAACCUGACUGUGCAUGAGUCACUACAGUUCUCUGCAUGGCUUUGA